CUCAAUAUUGUCUCCUUCUCUUCGUCCUCCUCUUCUGCUUCCGGCUUUUCUUUUUCUCCUCUUCUCUUUUGUUUGCUUGUUAUCGGCUUUUCAUUUUUCUUUUGGUAUUUUUCUGUUUUUCUGGUGAUAUUAUGAGUUUUAGAGCUUCAAUCAUCUUCUUUGUUUCUUCGGACAUAAUCUUUAACUAACGAUUUCCUCUCGGUUUUCUUUUAUUCUUUCAGACAUGCUCUACAAUUGUCUAAUUGUUGCCGGAGAUGACAGCCGGUGGCUACUGAAAAAGGAGAAGAAAACAGUCAUAUAUAAUAUUAUUUGUUUUGACAUGGUCUACAAUUGUCUAAUUUGUGCCGGAGAUGACAGCCGGUGGCUACUGAAAAUAGGAGAAGAAAACAGUCAUAUAUAAGUCUAUUUGUUUUACAUGCUCUACAAAUGUCUAAUUUGUGCCAGAGAUGAAAGUCAGUUGCCACUGAAAAAAGGAGAAGAAAACAAUCAUAUAUAAGUCUAUUUAUUUUGUUGAGUUUUUCUGUAAUUUUCCUUUGUUUGUUAGUAGUCACAAUUUGUUGGGUAUACGUUAGUUUCCUAUUUUUUGAUGGGCAUAUGUUUUUUUUGUAGAACAUCUUAUUUGUUGAAUUUUCACAUGCAUGUCAAUAAUUUUAUUGUAUUUUCUCAUUCAUGGUGGGGAUAAUACAUAACCCCCUUGAGGUUGUCCGACUUUACCAGAUGUAUCCUUAUA